CUCGCCCCUGGCUCUGGCUGCAGGCGCACGGUGGGACGAGGAAUCCGUUCCGAGAAACUAGUCUCACCUUUAAGGGCGUUUCCUAAGACGACGCCCUGACACUGCCCCAGUCAUAACCUCUUCCAGAAGACAGCUGCUUCUGCAUGGAAAUCGCGACGGUGAGAAACAUCUCUGAACCACAACACCUCAGAAUUCCGCCUGCCACCUAAACCCAGUUUCUGAGAGACAGGCGAGCUGAAAUGACUGAAUUCCUCACUCAAAUCCUCUUUUAAAUAUAGUUGCAGAGUUCAAAGCCCCAAGAAUCAAAAUUUGAAAGGCAAAAACUGAAAACUGAUCAAAGAACUAAAGCUCCCAGAACAUUUUCUGGUUAAAAAUUGCCUAAAAGCAUUGAUAAUUAAUGUAGCUGAGUGAUGGCACAUGUAGGUUAAUUAUAAUUUCUCUCAAUUUUUUUGUUUAUGUUUGAAUAUUUGUGUAAUAUUUUUAAAUUGCUGAUUUAAAUUGUGGGGAGGGUGACAACUCCAGAACUCUCUUUUUAAGAUCAAAAGUGGAACUCUCUCACUGAAAAGUGGAGUUCAGUGUUCCACUGAGAACCAUUUACCUCCCCUGUACAUCACAGAUCCAUUCCCUAUUUCUUCCAGGGAACUAUAUAUAGGAUGUAACAUAAGGCAGUGUAAAUAGUAAGUGCACCCUGACUAGUUUGCCUUUGUGAAUUAAGGAACUAAGUCUCAGACAAAAUUUAAACAAGAAACUUGUCUGCCCAUUAGGUUCAGCCACAAGAGUAGAGACAAUUAGCAAACUUUACUAGGAUAUGAAAUAGUCCACAAAAAUUGAAUUUAUUCUUAAACAAAUUUCAAAAACAAAACAAAUUAUUGGCUUCAGUGUCAAAGAUUAGGAUUUGUAUUUCCUUGUCUUCAUUUACUGCUACUAGUCAAGCUAACUGCUUUGGGAUUAAAAGUUAUUCUUUCCACUAGUAGCAUAUGAAAUACAUUUGGAGAGAUGGCAUUUGACUUUUGGAAAAACCUCUUAAUUUUAGACCUAUAGUGAAGCCUCUUACACCAGGUUUAAGAAUACUAAACUAUAUCUAGGUGGACAGUAUGUGUAGGCAAAAAUUAAGGUAUGACGAAAAGGAAAUACUCAUACAGAGAACCACUAUGGAAAUUUACCACAAAAAUCCUUCACACAUUCCUCAGAUUUCUAGCUUUCCUUGUUCCUAUAGUUUCCUUGUUCCUAUAGUUCCAUUUAAACUGCCACUAACAUCUAUUUUCAAGGCAUUUAAUCGGUGUCAAGAAUAACAGAAUAGCACCUGCCUGGUGAAAUCUAUUCCACGAUAUGCCUCCCUGACUCCAGGUAUAACAUUUCAUUCUUAUUCAAAUAAACAGGGAUUUGUAAAAAAAAAAAAAAAAAAAAAAAAAAAACAA